rnacentral:rRNA from 1 species
AACUUGAGAGUUUGAUCCUGGCUCAGAACGAACGCUGGCGGCAGGCUUAACACAUGCAAGUCGAACGCAUCGCAAGAUGAGUGGCAGACGGGUGAGUAACGCGUGGGAAUCUACCCAGUUCUACGGAACAACAGAGGGAAACUUCUGCUAAUACCGUAUACGCCCUACGGGGGAAAGAUUUAUCGGAAUUGGAUGAGCCCGCGUAAGAUUAGCUAGUUGGUGGGGUAAUGGCCUACCAAGGCGACGAUCUUUAGCUGGUCUGAGAGGAUGAUCAGCCACACUGGGACUGAGACACGGCCCAGACUCCUACGGGAGGCAGCAGUGGGGAAU